rnacentral:rRNA from 1 species
GACAAACAGGUCAAGCUAAGUGAAGUCGGUAUAAAAAAAGGUUAAAUUUGUGUAUUUAUAGGUCGUUAGAUUUUUAUGAGGAGGUGGAAUUCGUAUAUAAAAAUUUUUAUUAAUUAUUCCUUGUUAUUGAUGCCUUGAAAAUUAAAACAGAAACCGGGAUUAGAUACCCCGUUAUUUUUUUUGUAAAUUUUGAUUUUUUUUUCUUGAUAAAAAUUAAUUUACCUGAGUAUUACGGGUUAGAAAAUUACACGUUACUUUGGGUUGCGUGUAAUUUAUUUAGUUACUUAAAACUCAAAAAACUUGGCGGUGCUUUAAUUCCUUCCAGGGGAACCUGUCCUGUAAUCGAUGGUCCGCGAUUAAUCUUACUUUUUUUAGGAUUUUAUUUAAAAUUUCAGUUUGUAUACCGUCGUCGUCAGAUUACCUUUGAGAGUUAAGAAGUUGUCUAUUAAAUUGAAAAAGUUAAUUUUUAAUUUUGAUGUCAGAUCAAGGUGCAGCUUAUAGAAAAGUAGAGAUGGGUUACAAUAUAGAAUUUAUACUAUGGAUAUAAAUUUGUAAUAAUUUAAUGAAAGUGGACUUGGAAGUAAUAUGAUAUAAUAAAUUAGAAUGUUUUUGUGAAUCAUGGUACUAAGGUGUGC